AGCAGUAGCCGCGGUAAUACGUAGGGUGCAAGCGUUAAUCGGAAUUACUGGGCGUAAAGCGUGCGCAGGCGGUUAUAUAAGACAGAUGUGAAAUCCCCGGGCUCAACCUGGGAACUGCAUUUGUGACUGUAUAGCUAGAGUACGGCAGAGGGGGAUGGAAUUCCGCGUGUAGCAGUGAAAUGCGUAGAUAUGCGGAGGAACACCGAUGGCGAAGGCAAUCCCCUGGGCCUGUACUGACGCUCAUGCACGAAAGCGUGGGGAGCAAACAGGAUUAGAUACCCGUGUAGUCCCUGUCUCUUAUAA
rnacentral:rRNA from 1 species